UUUCUCAAUGGGGGAAACCCUGAAGGAGCGACGCCGCGUGGAGGAUGAAGGCUUUCGGGUUGUAAACUCCUGUCAUUUGAGAACAAUGGCUACGCGUUAACUGCGCGGAGCUUGAUAGUAUCAGAAGAGGAAGGGACGGCUAACUCUGUGCCAGCAGCCGCGGUAAUACAGAGGUCCCAAGCGUUGUUCGGAUUCAUUGGGCGUAAAGGGUGCGUAGGUGGCGCUGUAAGUCAGGUGUGAAAUUUCGGAGCUUAACUUCGAAACUGCAUUUGAUACUGCGGUGCUUGAGGACUGGAGAGGAGACUGGAAUUUACGGUGUAGCAGUGAAAUGCGUAGAGAUCGUAAGGAAGACCAGUGGCGAAGGCGGGUCUCUGGACAGUUCCUGACACUGAGGCACGAAGGCCAGGGGAGCAAACGGGAUUAGAUACCCCGGUAGUCCUGGCAGUAAACGGUGCACGUUUGGUGUGGGAGGAUUCGACCCCUUCUGCGCCGGAGCUAACGCGUUAAACGUGCCGCCUGGGGAGUACGGUCGCAAGAUUAAAACUCAAAGAAAUUGACGGGGGCCCGCACAAGCGGUGGAGUAUGUGGCUUAAUUCGAUGCAACGCGAAGAACCUUACCUGGCCUUGACAUGCAUCUCUAAGCUGGUGAAAGCCAGUGAGUGUCGAAAGACACAAUUUGCACAGGUGCUGCAUGGCUGUCGUCAGCUCGUGUCGUGAGAUGUUGGGUUAAGUCCCGCAACGAGCGCAACCCCUGUGAACUGUUGCCACGUCCUUGAUUGGACAGCACUCUGUUCAGACUGCCCUGUGAAACGGGGAGGAAGGUGGGGACGACGUCAAGUCAGUAUGGCCCUUACGGCCAGGGCUGCACACGUACUACAAUGCCCAGUACAGAACGAUCCGAGACCGCGAGGUGGAGGAAAUCUAGUAAAACUGGGCCCAGUUCGGAUUGGAGUCUGCAACUCGACUCCAUGAAGCCGGAAUCGCU
rnacentral:rRNA from 1 species